CUACGGGCUGCUCCAGUGGGGAAUAUUGGACAAUGGGGGAAACCCUGAUCCAGCAAUGCCGCGUGUGUGAAGAAGGCCUGCGGGUUGUAAAGCACUUUCGGUUGGGAGGACUGCUUCUAGCACUAAUAUUGUUGGAAGUUGACGUUACCUUCAGAAGAAGCACCGGCUAACUCCAUGCCAGCAGCCGCGGUAAUACGGGAGGGUGCAGCGUUAAUCGGAAUUACUGGGCGUAAAGCGCGCGUAGGCGGCUAGAUCAGUCGGGUGUGAAAGCCGCGGGCUUAACCUGGGAACUGCAUCCGAUACUGUCUAGCUUGAGUACAGGAGAGGAGAGUGGAAUUCCACAUGUAGCGGUGAAAUGCGUAGAUAUGUGGAGGAACACCAAUGGCGAAGGCAGCUCUCUGGCCUGAUACUGACGCUGAGGUGCGAAAGCGUGGGGAGCAAACAGGAUUAGAUACCCUUGUAGUC
rnacentral:rRNA from 1 species